UACGAAGGGGGCUAGCGUUGCUCGGAAUCACUGGGCGUAAAGCGCACGUAGGCGGUUCCUUAAGUCAGGGGUGAAAUCCCGGAGCUCAACUCCGGAACUGCCUUUGAUAAUGGGGAUCUUGAGUCCGGAAGAGGUGAGUGGAACUCCGAGUGUAGAGGUGAAAUUCGUAGAUAUUCGGAAGAACACCAGUGGCGAAGGCGGCUCACUGGUCCGGUACUGACGCUGAGGUGCGAAAGCGUGGGGAGCAAACAGG
rnacentral:rRNA from 1 species